AGAAUCUUUCGCAAUGGACGAAAGUCUGACGAAGCGACGCCGUGUGAACGAAGAAGGCCCUCGGGUUGUAAAGUUCUUUCGCCAGGGAACAAGAGAGAAGAGCGAAUAACUCUUUGCUUUGAGUGUACCUAGUAAAGAAGCACCGGCUAACUCAGUGCCAGCAGCUGCGGUAAUACGGAGGGUGCAAGCAUUAAUCGGAAUUAUUGGGCGUAAAGGGCGCGUAGGCGGAGUAGUAAGUCAGAUGUGAAAUACCAAAGCUUAACUUUGGUGCUGCAUUUGAAACUACGGAUCUAGAGGAUAGACGGAGAAAACGGAAUUCCACAUGUAGCGGUGAAAUGCGUGGAUAUGUGGAAGGACACCUGUGGCGAAAGCGGUUUUCUAGUUUAUUCCUGACGCUGAGGCGCGAGAGCAAGGGGAGCAAAC
rnacentral:rRNA from 1 species